UUUUUAAUAUGAAUACGAAUCAGAUUAUUACGAUACACGUAUUAUAUUAAGGGUUGGAACUCCCUGGGUUACAUUCUCUUGUAUUCUAUUUUAUACAAACCCUACAUAGCGUAAACUUAUGUACAUUUCUACCUACCAAUAAUAUACGUGCAAACAUGUGUCAGUUUAUUAUAAAGUUUUCCGUGUAAAUAUAGUGUUUAAUAUGAAUGCAGAGUU